GUUAUAGGGAGGGUUAUAUGGAGUAAUAGGAGGAGUUAUAGGGAGGUUAUAUGGAGUAAUAGGAGGAGUUAUAGGGAGGUUAUAUGGAGUAAUAGGAGGAGUUAUAGGGAGGGUUAUAUGGAGUAAUAGGAGGAGUUAUAGGGAGGGUUAUAUGGAGUAAUAGGAGGGGUUAUAGGGAGGUUAUAUGGAGUAAUAGGAGGAGUUAUAGGGAGGGUUAUAUGGAGUAAUAGGAGGAGUUAUAGGGAGGUUAUAUGGAGUAAUAGGAGGAGUUAUAGGGAGGUUAUAUGGAGUAAUAGGAGGAGUUAUAGGGAGGGUUAUAUGGAGUAAUAGGAGGGGCUAUAGGGAGGGUUAUAUGGAGUAAUAGGAGGGGUUAUAGGGAGGGUUAUAUGGAGUAAUAGGAGG